AUCUUGGCCGUAAGGAGUAAGAAAUUACCCAUCGUACCUUUAAAGGUCAGGCUUCCCCCUGCUACAUGUAUUCAUUAGAGUACAGGCUCAUGCUGGUCAAUCUGGACACCUAUGACUCAUAACGUGAGGUGACACCUUUGCGAAGCCUCCGUUGCAGUGGUUCAGCAAAGCGCAGGAUGAUGCAUGCCCCUGUCAGGAAGAACAGUAUAGCGAAAUAGUGGAUAGUGGCAGCUUAGAGAAGAUGUGACUGGACUACUGCUGCAGGUCUCAGGAAAGAGUUUCAGUGGACAAUGCAGGCCCAUACAUUCAAACCUGUGGAGACUGUUGAAAGGCCCUGGAUGGAUUGGCACCUGAACACAUUGCUGAACUUUUGGAGCAAUAUCAGUACAAACAUGCUGUCCAAUCUGCAGAUGCUGGACUUCUCUGUAUCACUACAGAAGAGCAGGACAUGGUGAUGAGCUGUUCCCCCUGAAGCACCCCGUCCCACGUCUGGGUGGCCCCGUGGUACCGCACGGGCAGCGUCCCCUCCCCCGAUUCGAUCUUCGUCCUCAAGUGGCUGUGGAACUUCUUCACAAAGUGCCGACUGCUGUGUACUGAGAAUGGGAGACAGGGAUCACUUAAACUUCAUCAGUGGAUGCGCUACUGCUAAAGCACUGCUUCCUUUUAAAAAAACAUCUGCUGUGCUUUAUUCUUAGCUCAGUGUGUGACACGUUUCUGUGCUGAGCCAAUAUAAAGAUAAUAAGGAGCAUUGAAAGUUAUUUGUGUAACCCUACUUGAGACUGCACUUAAUAGAACUACUUAGCACAACCGGCUUACAUUGUCAAAUGCUUGUCAAUUCUCAUUAACAGCAAUUUACUGCGGUAUGAUUGAUCAAAUACUGUUAUUUGACUGUACCUCUAAAAUGCCAUAGUGCAUAGUGAACAGCUGGUUGGAUUUUUCACGUGUGGCUUCAGUGCAGUGAGAUGGAAAU